rnacentral:lncRNA from 1 species
AAACAGGAGAGGAAGCUGAUCCAAGUGCAGAAGCAAACUGCUUUUUGACUCACUUGUGUUUCUGAUGCAGCUCAGAUCAGAAAAAAUAUACAUUGUGAGUGAAUGACACCACUGUAUCAGGGCCCUUCUCACAUGUCCAAACACUGUGCUCCCCUCUGAAAAUUCAUUCUGCCCCAGAUCUGUCGAUGUGCAGCACCCCCUUUGGAGCUCACAGUCAUGCUAAUGGGAGCAGCAUAGGAACAGCAGCAAGCAGUGUGGACAAUGUAUUUUCAAAACUGAACCAGAAAGCAAGAUGAAUGUGCUCAUCCUCAUGAGAUCUAUAUACAUAUGUAACAGUAUGAUCCUACUUUGAGGAGGGUUUGUUUAUUUUUUCACCUUAAAAAUGUAACAAAGCGAUGAACACAAUAAACUGAACCACAGAGGACAGCUGAAACUCAAAGCUCAAAAGACAAUUCUCAGGACUGAGCGUCCAUUACCAUUACUUUUGUUAAUCUGCUCUGUAACUUCUUGCUUCAUUUGUCUUUUAGAUGGAUAUCUGUUGAACUGAGAAAAAUCCAGUCCAUGUUGGUGAUGAUGAUGAUGAUGAUGAUGAUGAUGAUAAUAAUAAUAAUAAUAAUAAAAUCUACAAGACUCAUAAGUAGUACCCCAGUCCUUCAGCAGUGGUACCAUGAGGCCAGUUGGGUGUGUUCCCCCCCACAGUGACAAACUGCCUGUGGCAAUGGUCACAAUUUUGUACUUAUGUACUUACAUACAAUGGUUGGCAUGUGGCUCUGCAUUAACUCAUUCCUCAUAUGUCCUGGGGAUGCACCCAUCAGGAAAAAUUCCCUGACACUCAUUGAAGAGCUCAGAACACAUUUGUUCUUGAGCAAGAAACAUGCCUUAAAUCUACGGACUGUGUGAACAAAGAUUGCAUGAAAACAUGAAAAGCAGCUCUAUUUUUAAUAAUGCCAAAAAAAAUUAAGUUUAAAAAUGAUGAAUUCUGUAAAGAGUGAAACAAAUAUGUUCAGGAUAUCCGGAGACUUCAGUCAGUGACCUGUUAACUGGAAAUAAUGGCUAAAUUUCAGGAAAUGUGAACUAUGAUUCAAUUUGUUUAUGCCUCAGGUGUGGCACUUACAUCUUUUAAUCAUUACCUGGAAGCGUUGUUAAUAUUUUAAGACUCAACCUGUCCUUUCUGCAUACAAAGCAGCAGAUCCUCAGCUGCCACAAGAUUUGUAACUGAAGAAUGUCUGUAAUUAAGAAACUUAGAUGCAAGAUGUAGUUUUAUUUUUAUGUCCACUUUUUGGUACCACAUUUGGUAUUUUGAGACACUAACAGGUCUGAAAGCCUGGCAGGGACCAGCCAUCUCCAG